AAUUGGUAUCCUUAGUCGUGGUCU
rnacentral:miRNA from 1 species